rnacentral:rRNA from 1 species
UACGGAACGCAGCAGUGGGGAAUAUUGCACAAUGGGCGCAAGCCUGAUGCAGCCAUGCCGCGUGUAUGAAGAAGGCCUUCGGGUUGUAAAGUACUUUCAGUCGUGAGGAAGGUGUUAAGGUUAAUAACCUUAGCAAUUGACGUUAGCGACAGAAGAAGCACCGGCUAACUCCGUGCCAGCAGCCGCGGUAAUACGGAGGGUGCGAGCGUUAAUCGGAAUUACUGGGCGUAAAGGGCACGCAGGCGGUUAAUUAAGUUGGAUGUGAAAUCCCCGGGCUUAACCUGGGAAUGGCAUUCAAGACUGGUUAGCUAGAGUCUUGUAGAGGGGGUAGAAUUCCAUGUGUAGCGGUGAAAUGCGUAGAGAUGUGGAGGAAUACCGGUGGCGAAGGCGGCCCCUGGGACAAAGACUGACGCUCAUGUGCGAAAGCGUGGGGAGCAAACAGGAUUAGAUACC